AACGAACGCUGGCGGCAGGCCUAACACAUGCAAGUCGAGCGAGGACUUCGGUUCUAGCGGCGGACGGGUGAGUAACGCGUGGGAAUGUGCCCUUCUCUACGGAAUAGCCCUGGGAAACUGGGAGUAAUACCGUAUACGCCCUAUUGGGGAAAGAUUUAUCGGAGAAGGAUCAGCCCGCGUUGGAUUAGGUAGUUGGUGGGGUAAUGGCCUACCAAGCCGACGAUCCAUAGCUGGUUUGAGAGGAUGAUCAGCCACACUGGGACUGAGACACGGCCCAGACUCCUACGGGAGGCAGCAGUGGGGAAUCUUAGACAAUGGGGGCAACCCUGAUCUAGCCAUGCCGCGUGAGUGAUGAAGGCCUUAGGGUUGUCAAGCUCUUUCAGCUGGGAAGAUAAUGACGGUACCAUCAGAAGAAGCCCCGGCUAACUCCGUG
rnacentral:rRNA from 1 species